UUUGUAGUUAUAAAAUAUUGGUGUGACUGUGCUUGUACGAAUAUUAACAUAUAUUUAUUUUUAGAUUUUAAUACAUUCUCUUUAUAUGUUUAGGCUACAUUUUUUUAUAACUGCAGAAUUUAUGAUCUUUCAUUAAAGAACUAGCAUCAAUCAAUUGUAAUUGGUGUCAUAUCAUCUUUUCCAGUAAUAUGUUUAUAUAUCUGAUACUAGAAUAGUAUAUUUCUCAUUUCAUUAUCUGAUUUAUUUGUAUUAAAUUUAUCAGACUGCAAUAAAUUAGAUAUAAGAUUUAAUGAUGACAAAAUGUAAAGAAUGAGUGAGAAAUGGUUUUCUAAACUUACAUAUUGAUUUAUUAUAUGUAUAAUCUAAUGCAACUUUAUCUGGACUUAAACCAUCAAUAUGAUUUAAUUAAUAACAAUACAGGUAAAUCAAGCAGAGUUUUAAAGAUCAAUGCACUUUUGCUAUAAAGGUCACAAAGAAUAAAUAUUUAGUAGAUAAUAAUUGUAAUAAGCACACAUUGUUUUAGCUGUCAUUCUUUGGAUUUCACAAUUGUUUAGUUAAUGUUUCAAGAAUACCUUAUUGUAUUGCUCUUUUGUGCUUUCUAUUAAUUCUUCAAGAAUACAAUAACUCAAUGAAUCACUAACCAUUCUGUAGUGAAUAAUAAUUGUCUAUUGGAAAGUUUACCUGCCAUUCACUAGUAUAGAAUUCAGAUCAAAUCUCAAGCAAUGAAGCAUCAGAUGAAAUUAUCAAGUCUACUAGAAUAUGUACUCAUUAAUCAUUUGCUAAUUGUUGUUUAUAAUAAUUAGCAUCUCCAGCAAUUAAUCAUAAAGUGAUAAUUAAUUCUCUAAUAAUUGGAAUAAUCACUAACUCUUCUGAUUUUGUUUUUAACAUCGGCCCAUUAACAUGUACUCCUCCUUGCUGCAUAUGAUGUCUCAAUAAAGUGCUGGGAUAUCCCAAAUAAGUGAAGUAAGUUUGCCUUAUAUUAUCGCUUGUUUUCAUCUUUCAAUAUAUGUCUCAAAUGAAUGGCAGUCCAAUUAAUUGAAAUGCACUGUGUAUAUUUUUUUAAGGAAUUAACUUCAAUCUCAUUCAUAACCAAUUAUUACAUUUCAUUGAUUAGUUUUAGGCACCAUUUGCCUAUUCUUGAAAGAAAUUUUUCAUUUUUAAACAAGUAGAUUGUUCCAGUUUCAUUAACAGCCAUCGUCAUUGUAGAAUUACCGAACUUAUUAUACCAAGAUAGGAUUUAUUGAUGAUUUUCUAAUAAAGCAAUAAUUCUUAUCCUGGUAUAAUAAGUCUGGUAUUACUGAGAUGAUGAUGGUUGUUAAUGGAACUGUGAAACAUGAAGUAAAUACAGGAAAGUAGAUUGUUAUUACAUUGCAAAUUAUUUUGUAUUGUUUUGUUAACUACAUUGUACUCAAAAGAAUGCCUGAUGUGUGGAAAUAGUUAUAACUUAAGUCAAUAGUUAUAACUUAACUCAUCACUGAUGGAAAAAUGCAACUGUUAGAAAUAUAAGCCAUUGUGCUUAUUUGCACAGAAUGGUGUUGGUAUUAAAGCACCAAGAAAGUAUUUAAUUCAUGAUCUACAUUAAAAACGAUCAUGUUAAUUCAAGAUGCUGUUUCAUUAAGAAACUUAGUUUACCAUGAUAAUUUUGGUUAUACUAUUUUUAAAUUUUUACUAAAUUAUCACAGUACAUAAUUCAGAAUUAUUAAUAUUUCUGUAAUUCAUAAUUAUUAUUACAAAUAAGUUAGGUUAAUUAUAUCAUAUUUUCAUGGAUUGUCUGACAAGUCAGUCUAUCCAGGGAAACCAUAAAAUUUGAUAUUUCCAUAUGGUAAAAACUUGCAUGCUGGUUUAAGUGAGGUUAGACAUCCCUCUUUAGAGGGCACAUGAAAAAACAAAUGAAUUGCAUUAUGUAAAAAUGAAGGAGUGUUUAUUCUAAAACUGUGAAACUUAGCAUUAUAUCAAAAACUAUUGUUAUGUGUUUAAUUUCUUUGUUUUGUCUUCUUUCUAAGUAUAUAAAAGAGGUGGAAUUCCAAAAGUGCUUUUUUAUGUGUAUUUUUUUUAAUGUAUUUUGUUCUUUGAUUUGAAAAAACAAAAAAUAAACAUAUUAAAUUUAAGAAACUCCCUGAAAAUUAUCUGGACACCAAUUAACAUCAGCUUUGUGUGAAAUUUGAGAGGUGGGUGUUAUUUUUAAGAUCAGUGUAGCCCACUGACUAACUAAUACUGCUAAUGUCAAUAUAAGUUAAUUGUUUUAUUGUCUUGUAAAUGAAAAUUCUCUUCCUGAUUUUAAGUCAGUCAAAUUACAAUGUUGUU